rnacentral:rRNA from 1 species
AUUGAACGCUGGCGGCAGGCCUAACACAUGCAAGUCGAGCGGAUGAAGGGAGCUUGCUCCUGGAUUCAGCGGCGGACGGGUGUGUAAUGCCUAGGAAUCUGCCUGGUAGUGGUGGAUAACGUCCGGAAACGGGCGCUAAUACCGCAUACGUCCUGCGGGUGAAAGUGGGGGAUCUUCGGACCUUACGCUAUCUGAUGAGCCUAGGUCGGAUUUGCUAGUUGGUGGGGUAAAGGCCUACCAAGGCGACGAUCCGUAACUGGUCUGAGAGGAUGAUCAGUCACACGGGAAGUGAGACACGGACCAGACUCCUACGGGAGGCAGCAGUGGGGAAUAUUGGACAAUGGGCGAAAGCAUGAUCCAGCAAUGCCGCGUGUGUGAAGAAGGUCUUCGGAUUGUAAAGCACUUUAAGUGGGGAGGAAGGGCAGUAAGUUAAUACCUUGCUGUUUUGACGUUACCAACAGAAUAAGCACCGGCUAACUUCGUG